GACGAACGCUGGCGGCGUGCCUAACACAUGCAAGUCGGGCGAGGCGGAGGCGGAAGGCAACGGAAGCUUCCACCUAGCGGCGGACGGGUGAGUAACGCGUGGGCAACCUGCCUCAAGGCCUGGGAUAACAGUUCGAAAGGGCUGCUAAUACCGGGUUCGCUCACAGCCUCGCAUGGGGCUAUGAGCAAAGGGGAAACCCGCCUUGAGAUGGGCCCGCGUCCCAUCAGCUAGUUGGUGAGGUAAUGGCUCACCAAGGCGACGACGGGUAGCCGGCCUGAGAGGGUGAACGGCCACACUGGGACUGAGACACGGCCCAGACUCCUACGGGGGGCAGCAGUGGGGGAUCUUGCACAAUGGGCGGAAGCCUGAUGCAGCGACGCCGCGUGAGCGAAGAAGGCCUUCGGGUUGUAAAGCUCUGUCUGGAGGGACGAAACAAAUGACGGUACCUCCGGAGGAAGCCACGGCUAACUACGUG
rnacentral:rRNA from 1 species